GAUGAAGAACGCAGUGAAAUGCGAUAAGUAAUGUGAAUUGCAGAAUUCAGUGAAUCAUCGAAUCUUUGAACGCACAUUGCGCCCGCCAGUAUUCUGGCGGGCAUGCCUGUUCGAGCGUCAUUUCAACCCUCAAGCCCCCGGGCUUGGUGUUGGGGAUCGGCGUGCCCUCGCGGCGCGCCGUCCCCUAAAUCUAGUGGCGGUCUCGCUGUAGCUUCCUCUGCGUAGUAGCAACACUCGCACUGGAUCGCAGCGCGGCCACGCCGUUAAACCCCCCACUUCUGAACGUUUGACCUCGGAUCAGGUAGGAAUACCCGCUGAACUUAAGCAUAUCAAUAAGCGGAGGA
rnacentral:misc_RNA from 1 species